UAUUCUUGGGGCUGCACUCCUUCACCACUUGCCCUGUCAUGAUCUGCACAUGGCUGGCCAUCCAAGGGAGAGUAAAUUGUGUAACGCAAAUCUUUGACAAUCUUACCCAUAGAUUUUAGUUUCCUCAUCUGCCACUGUACAAAAGAAUCAAAGUAUGGGUUUAUAUCUGUGGUAACAAAUGUGCGUCUCCAGUCACAGCCCAAGCCAAAAGCCUUAAGAUCUUCCAUAGCUAAUGGAGGAAAGAACCUCAGCCAUUCGUAUGGAUCCUGGAACUUUGAUAUCUCACUAUCAGAAAGCCCAAAACUGCGCAUGAUUUCCCACUGGAACAUUUGUCCCCCUGAUUUCGAUGCUGCCUUGGACUUUUUGCCCUUGAA
rnacentral:misc_RNA from 1 species